rnacentral:rRNA from 1 species
GAUGAACGCUGGCGGCGUGCCUAAUACAUGGAAGUCGAGCGAACAGACGAGGAGCUUGCUCCUCUGACGUUAGCGGCGGACGGGUGAGUAACACGUGGAUAACCUACCUAUAAGACUGGGAUAACUUCGGGAAACCGGAGCUAAUACCGGAUAAUAUAUUGAACCGCAUGGUUCAAUAGUGAAAGACGGUUUUGCUGUCACUUAUAGAUGGAUCCGCGCCGCAUUAGCUAGUUGGUAAGGUAACGGCUUACCAAGGCAACGAUGCGUAGCCGACCUGAGAGGGUGAUCGGCCACACUGGAACUGAGACACGGUCCAGACUCCUACGGGAGGCAGCAGUAGGGAAUCUUCCGCAAUGGGCGAAAGCCUGACGGAGCAACGCCGCGUGAAUGAUGAAGGUCUUCGGAUCGUAAAACUCUGUUAUUAGGGAAGAACAAAUGUGUAAGUAACUAUGCACGUCUUGACGGUACCUAAUCAGAAAGCCACGGCUAACUACGUG